CGAUACUUGGUGUGAAUUGCAGAAUCCCGUGAACCAUCGAGUCUUUGAACGCAAGUUGCGCCCGAGGCCCUUGGGCCGAGGGCACGCCUGCCUGGGCGUCACGC
rnacentral:rRNA from 1 species